GGCGAAGUGCCAGAGUGGUUAAUGGGUGUGCCUCGAACUACAUCAUCUUCUGAUGAUGCUUCUAGCACAUGACUUCGGUCGCGCAAGUUCGAAUCUUGUCUUCGUCG
rfam:Colletotrichum salicis strain CBS 607.94 Scaffold_2207.1, whole genome shotgun sequence.